rnacentral:rRNA from 1 species
GACAUAGGUGGCGAACGUUAUCCGGAAUUAUUGGGCGUAAAGCGCGCGUAGGCGGAAGGUGAAGCGUGGCCUGAAAGCCCCCGGCUCAACCGGGGAGGGCGGCUGCGAACUGGCCUUCUUGAGGGCGAUAGAGGGGGGCGGAAUUCCUGGUGUAGCGGUGAAAUGCGUAGAGAUCAGGAGGAACACCCGUGGCGAAGGCGGCCCCCUGGGUCGGCCCUGACGCUGAGGCGCGAAAGCGUGGGGAGCGAACGGG